UACGUAGGGGGCAAGCGUUGUCCGGAUUUAUUGGGCGUAAAGAGCGUGUAGGCGGUUUGGUAGGUCUGCUGUGAAAACUCGAGGCUCAACCUCGAGACGCCGGUGGAAACCAUCAGACUAGAGUCCGGAAGAGGAGAGUGGAAUUCCUGGUGUAGCGGUGAAAUGCGCAGAUAUCAGGAAGAACACCCGUGGCUAAGGCGGCUCUCUGGGACGGUACUGACGCUGAGAAGCGAAAGCAUGGGUAGCAAACAGG
rnacentral:rRNA from 1 species